GUCGGAUUAGCUAGUUGGUAGGGUAAAGGCCUACCAAGGCGACGAUCCGUAGCUGGGUCUGAGAGGAUGACCCGCCACACUGGGACUGAGACACGGCCCAGACUCCUACGGGAGGCAGCAGUGGGGAAUCUUGGACAAUGGGCGCAAGCCUGAUCCAGCAAUGCCGCGUGGGUGAAGACGGCCUGCGGGUUGUAAAGCCCUUUUGGKGGGGAAGAAAGCCCUGGGKUGAACAGGCUCAGGGGGUGACGKUACCCGCCGAAGAAGCACCGGCCAACUCC
rnacentral:rRNA from 1 species